GAUGAACGCUGGCGGCGUGCCUAAUACAUGCAAGUCGAGCGAACGGACGAGAAGCUUUCUUCUCUGAUGUUAGCGGCGGACGGGGGAGUAAAACGUAGAUAACCUACCUAUAAGACUGGGAUAACUUCGGGAAACCGGAGCUAAUACCGGAUAAUAUUUUGAACCGCAUGGUUCAAAAGUGAAAGACGGUCUUGCUGUCACUUAUAGAUGGAUCCGCGCUGCAUUAGCUAGUUGGUAAGGUAACGGCUUACCAAGGCAACGAUGCAUAGCCGACCUGAGAGGGUGAUCAGCCACACUGGAACUGAGACACGGUCCAGACUCCUACGGGAGGCAGCAGUAGGGAAUCUUCCGCAAUGGGCGAAAGCCUGACGGAGCAACGCCGCGUGAGUGAUGAAGGUCUUCGGAUCGUAAAACUCUGUUAUUAGGGAAGAACAUAGGUGUAAGUAACUGUGCACAUCUUGACGGUACCUAAUCAGAAAGCCACGGCUAACUACGUG
rnacentral:rRNA from 1 species